rnacentral:rRNA from 1 species
ACGGGAGGCAGCAGUGGGGAAUAUUGCGCAAUGGGGGGAACCCUGACGCAGCAACGCCGCGUGAAGGAUGAAGGUUUUCGGAUUGUAAACUUCUUUGACGAGGGACGAAGAAUGACGGUACCUCGAAAACAAGCCACGGCUAACUACGUGCCAGCAGCCGCGGUAAUACGUAGGUGGCGAGCGUUGUCCGGAUUUACUGGGUGUAAAGGGCGAGUAGGCGGGACAUCAAGUCAGUAGUGAAAUACCGCAGCUUAACUGCGGAGCUGCUAUUGAAACUGAAGUUCUUGAGUGAUGGAGAGGCAGGCGGAAUUCCCGGUGUAGCGGUGAAAUGCGUAGAGAUCGGGAGGAACACCAGUGGCGAAGGCGGCCUGCUGGACAUUAACUGACGCUGAGGAGCGAAAGCGUGGGGAGCAAACAGGAUUAGAUACCCUGGUA